CGUGUAGGCGGGAAGGAAAGUCGGGCGUGAAAUCCCUGGGCUCAACCCAGGAACUGCACUCGAAACUUCUUUUCUUGAGUGCCGGAGAGGAAAGCGGAAUUCCUGGUGUAGAGGUGAAAUUCGUAGAUAUCAGGAGGAACACCAGUGGCGAAGGCGGCUUUCUGGACGGUAACUGACGCUGAGACGCGAAAGCGUGGGGAGCAAACA
rnacentral:rRNA from 1 species